rnacentral:ncRNA from 1 species
CAAAGGCAUGGUCCCGGCCUUACCAUCAGCUCUAGCCCGACUUACACAUGCAAGUCUCCGCAACCCAGUGAAUAUACCCUCAAUCUCCCGCCCGGAGACGAGGAGUAGGCAUCAGGCACAAAUAUUUAGCCCAAGACGCCCAGCUAAGCCACACCCCCAAGGAAAUUCAGCAGUGAUAAACAUUAAGCCAUAAGUGAAAACUUGACUCAGUUAGCACUAAGAGGGCCGGUAAAACUCGUGCCAGCCACCGCGGUUAGACGAGAGGCCCUAGUUGAUGAUUUAACGGCGUAAAGGGUGGUUAGGAGCAAUAAAAUUUUUAAAGCCAAAUGGCCCCUUGGCCGUCAUACGCUUCUAGGCGUCCGAAGCCCCACACACGAAAGCAGCUCUAAUAUAUGCCCGACUCCACGAAAGCUAAGAAACAAACUGGGAUUAGAUACCCCACUAUGCUUAGCCGUAAACUUAGACAUUUAAAUACAAUAAAAUGUCCGCCAGGGUACUACGAGCACUAGCUUAAAACCCAAAGGACCUGACGGUGUCUCAGAUCCAUCUAGAGGAGCCUGUUCUAAAACCGAUAACCCCCGUUCAACCUCACCACUUCUAGCUAUAACAGCCUAUAUACCGCCGUCGUCAGCUUACCCUGUGAAGGAAAAAAAGUAAGCAAAAUGGGUACAGCCCAGAACGUCAGGUCGAGGUGUAGCGCAUGAAGUGGGAAGAAAUGGGCUACAUUUUCUAUUACAGAAAAACACGAAUAUACACCAUGAAAUAGUGCUUAAAGGAGGAUUUAACAGUAAGAGGGAAAUAGAGUGUCCCCCUGAACCCGGCUCUGAGACGCGUACACACCGCCCGUCACUCUCCCCACUAAAAUGCACCACUACAUACCUAAUACAAUAGCAAUAACAAGGGGAGGCAAGUCGUAACACGGUAAGUGUACCGGAAGGUGCACUUGGACUAAACC